CAAUAGCGUAUAUUUAAGUUGUUGCAGUUAAAAAGCUCGUAGUUGGAUUUCGGUUAAGAGCGACCGGUCCGCCGUUUGGUGUGCACUGGUUGGUUUUAACUUCCUGUAGAGGACGUGCUCUGGGCUUAACGGUCUGGACUCGGAGUCUACGUGGUUACUUUGAAAAAAUUAGAGUGUUCAAAGCGGGCUUACGCUUGAAUAUUUCAGCAUGGAAUAACACUAUAGGACUCCUGUCCUAUCUCGUUGGUCUCGGGAUGGGAGUAAUGAUUAAGAGGAACAGUUGGGGGCAUUCGUAUUUCAUUGUCAGAGGUGAAUUCUUGGAUUUAUGAAAGACGAACUUUCUGCGAAAGUCAUUUUGCCAAGGAAUGUUUUUCAUUAAGUCAAGAACGAAAGUUGGGGGCUCGAAGACGAUUAGAU
rnacentral:rRNA from 1 species